UGGCCUUCAUUCACCUUCACAUGGGUGGCAGGAACCGAUUCUGUGCACUACCACUGCUGCCUCUCAGGAUCUGUGUAGCAGGAAUCUGGAGUCAGGCGCCAUAGCUGGGAAUCCAACUCAUGGUCUGCGAUGUGAGACAAGAGCAUCUUAACUGCGAAGUCAACUGUUGUCGCUUUGAUUGACAAAGGGUGUCAGCAACACAGUUCCUCUUUCCAGCCCCCGGCGUCAUCUUUCUGCUUCUCUCACUCCCCCUUCAAACCAGUUCCUCCUCUGAGCCCAGUCACCCGGACUGGAAACGAAGCCUCCUCUGACCUCAGCGGUCCGCAGCAUGUCUCCCCGCUUGAGCCCACUGACUCCUUACAAGGCCAUGUGCUUCUGGGAACUGAACACAGCCCGAUGAAUCACCUGGGGUGUUGUUCGAACGAGGAUGUCGGUUCUUGUCCUUCUUGGAUGGGGCUGAUGAGCUCCAGGUGGUAAUCUGCAUUGCUGGUGCAUGGACCACGUACUGAACAGAAAGGCAUGAAUCCUUGUUUUCAGGCAAGAAGUUGGCUUCUGGCUGCUAUAACAGUUCCUUUUCCUGUCCCAUUUUAGAGAAAUUCCUAGCUCGUGCAGGAUUGAACUGAUGAUUUUGAGUUCAUCACACUUUGAAUUAAUUGGUUUUCCUUACCAGCAUCUUACCCACUAGACUAACUGCCUGCCCUCAGCUAAUAUUUUUUAAAAGAUUAAAAAAAUCAUAAACCACGAACCCUAAACCCUGGGGAGCAGGUGAAGUUUCUCCAUGUAUUAUGUUUGACUCUCUGACAGCUGUUUGCUUUUUGAUUGUUGUAUGCUUUGUUUUGUUAUAAUUUAUUGCAUCAACCGGUUUUUUGAGGUUCUCUAUGUGUGGGGCACUAAAUUAUACUGAGAUUAUACUCAAGGAAUUAAAAAUGAUAUGAUAAAUAAGCUUACAAUCUUUUUUUUUUUUUUUUGACAGGCAGAGUGGACAGUGAGAGAGAGAGACAGAGAGAAAGGUCUUUCUUU
rnacentral:lncRNA from 1 species